rnacentral:lncRNA from 1 species
GGUGAGAGAGACGAGAGUCCAGAGCUGAGGAACCAUGGUAACAACAUCUCCAAAGAGAUAGGCAAGACUACCACCCUAGUUGGACAGUCAUUAAUGCUCAGUUCAGGAACUCAAUUAGGAAGAAAAUUACAGGAGAGAUCAGAGGGCCUAUCUUUCUAGAAGGAGCUCAUGGAGACUCCUGUUGUGCAGGAGCAUCAGUGGUGGGUGGAAGCGUGUUAUGAUCUCUUGAAUCUCCCCACUCUGGUUUACCUGGUGUUCAUCAGCCUGUGCUUGGCAUUGGGUCCCAGGGUGACAGAGAUUUGAUCUGGGACCUGGAAGGGUGUACAGCUACUUGACACACCCCAUGUUUGUGCUUACAACUGAAUCUUAGAUUCUGAUUGAAACCAAGAAGGGUCUCCAAGGCCUGCCAUCAAAGAGACAUUUCUGCAACCGGACAGAGGUGUGAGCACAAAGAACAUGGAGGCUACCUGGGAGACCAUUCGGAGCUUGUCCUCUUUCCAAUAGAGUACUCACGGGCUCCAUCCAGACGAGAGCAGAUUUCAUGCUCAUCAGAUGGGAGGGUGGGACUGUCGGGAGGGUGGCAGGAGUCAGACAAGUCAUGGUAAAGAGCCAAAUACUUUUCAUCCAAAGAAUCCUGACACGCAUCAUCCAUUUCCUCCUCCUCCUGCAGCUCCCAGCUGAGCCCAGAGGCACAAAGAUAACAGAAUAUUAAACGAGGAAAGACUGGACACCGCAACUUCCCCACUGGUUCUGAUUGGAAGACUAAGGGAGAGGUCACAGAAGGUAAAGAGGGCAUCCCUUGAAACAGGAAGAAGAUAACAGUCCUCCUCUGACUGCAACUAAGUGAGGCUGCCGUGGUGGGGGGAGGGAGGGCAGCAGGUGCUCACUGCCCCGUCCAGAUAACAAGUUAAUGAGGAAGGAGACUCAGCUCUCCUCUAUGGCGCAGUCAUGACACAGAGCACACAACGAGAACCACAGGAGUUCCUGCAACUCCAAAGCAUAACUUCCGUGCCACUUUUCUUACAGAGGCCCAGUGAGUAAAGGCUCCUGGGGCAUUGUGGGCUCCCAGACAUCUCGUGCCUUCUAGGCCUGUUUCUGUCAAUACUGUAAUACCAUAGACACAUUUUUGUCGAGCUGUAUGUCGUGCUAUGAAAUCCUCACCGUUAAACAGGCCAAAUGUGCAGACAGAAGUUAUGCAACUUCUCUUAGUUUUCCCCAAACAAGAGAGGACGCGUGGUCUCCCUGAGUGCAGGAAAUCUCUAAGAUUGGUUAGUUUGCCUUGUGUCAAGCUGAUUCUAGGUUCCUAAACUUGAGACAUUAAUACCAAGUGGAAACUAACAGGACAAGUCCCAAGGAAACAGACAGCAUUCUUCAGAGGGGUGAUUCGUGGUAGCGUGACGGGAUGAAACAGGUCUACUGGUACUUUCUAAUUCUC